rnacentral:rRNA from 1 species
AUGACACUGUACAACCACUUCACGCACACCAAAAAUGUUAAGCGCUUGAUAUCUGAAGAAGCAAAGAGUACUAAAGUUUUGGCAUAUAUUACUGCUCUUAAGAAAUUAUGCAACCAUCUGAUGGUAAUUAAUUCCAGUUUAAUGUUUCGCCCCAUGAUAUAUCUCUUUCAGUGA